rnacentral:rRNA from 1 species
AGGCCUAACACAUGCAUGUCGAGGGGUAAUUUCGAUCUUCGGAUCGGAAACGACCGGCAAAUGGGUGAGUAAUACAUAUGCAACCUGCCCGUAGCUGGAGAAUAGCUUCCGGAAACGGAAAUUAAUACUCCAUAAUAUUCUAGUAUCACAUGUUAUUAGAAUUAAAGCUUCGGUGGCUACGGAUGGGCAUAUGUCCCAUUAGCUUGUUGGUGAGGUAACUGCUCACCAAGGCUACGAUGGGUAGGGGGUCUGAGAGGAUGAUCCCCCACACUGGUACUGAGACACGGACCAGACUCCUACGGGAGGCAGCAGUGAGGAAUAUUGGUCAAUGGGCGAAAGCCUGAACCAGCCAUGCCGCGUGCAGGAUGACAGUCCUACGGAUUGUAAACUGCUUUUCUGCAAGAAGAAAUGUUCCGACGUGUCGGGAUUUGACGGUAUUGCAGGAAUAAGCAUCGGCUAACUCCGUGCCAGCAGCCGCGGUAAUACGGAGGAUGCAAGCGUUAUCCGGAUUCAUUGGGUUUAAAGGGUGCGUAGGCGGAUUAGAUAGUCAAAGGUGAAAGCCUGCAGCUUAACUGUAGAAGUGCCUUUGAUACUGCUAAUCUUGAGUACAGUUGAGGCGAGUGGAAUGUGUAGUGUAGCGGUGAAAUGCAUAGAUACUACACAGAACACCAAUUGCGAAGGCAGCUCGCUAAGCUGUUACUGACGCUCAGGCGCGAAAGCGUGGGGAGCGAACAGGAUUAGAUACCCUGGUAGUCCACGCUGUAAACUAUGAUCACUAGCUGUUGGCGAUAAAUUGUCAGUGGCUCAGC